rnacentral:rRNA from 1 species
AACGAACGCUGGCGGCAGGCUUAACACAUGCAAGUCGAGCGGGCCCUUCGGGGUCAGCGGCAGACGGGUGAGUAACGCGUGGGAAUCUACCCAUCCCUACGGAACAACUCCGGGAAACUGGAGCUAAUACCGUAUACGCCCUUAGGGGGAAAGAUUUAUCGGGGAUGGAUGAGCCCGCGUUGGAUUAGCUAGUUGGUGGGGUAAAGGCCUACCAAGGCGACGAUCCAUAGCUGGUCUGAGAGGAUGAUCAGCCACAUUGGGACUGAGACACGGCCCAAACUCCUACGGGAGGCAGCAGUGGGGAAUAUUGGACAAUGGGCGCAAGCCUGAUCCAGCCAUGCCGCGUGAGUGAUGAAGGCCUUAGGGUUGUAAAGCUCUUUCAGUAGGGAAGAUAAUGACGGUACCUACAGAAGAAGCCCCGGCUAACUUCGUGCCAGCCGCCGCCGUAA